GCUCGUGAGCUGAAAUGAAGUAUAGCCGUCCAUUUCUGAUUAUCAGACGAUCGUGGAAGGAACUUUCCGGUGCCGACGGGAGAAGUUGCGGUUUGGAAAUUCCGUCGCGGAUCAAGUGAAUUCGAGAUGAGCCGGUUCUCUCAGAGACGCAGACAAUGGACUGAUUACCAUCAAGGAAUUGGGCGUUAAAAUUGAUGGAUAUUCCGUCGGUGAGGCGGCGCUUUGAGAAUGUGGGUUUGGUGGAUUGGACGAGACUUUUGGAGAACUUGACGGAGAAGACGUCGAAACCGUACUGGGGUCUGCCAACAGUGGAGAAGAUGAUGGUUCCUUUUGGACUAUUC
rnacentral:lncRNA from 1 species